ACGAACGCUGGCGGCGUGCCUAAUACAUGCAAGUCGAACGCUUCUUUUUCCACCGGAGCUUGCUCCACCGGAAAAAGAGGAGUGGCGAACGGGUGAGUAACACGUGGGUAACCUGCCCAUCAGAAGGGGAUAACACUUGGAAACAGGUGCUAAUACCGUAUAACAAUCGAAACCGCAUGGUUUUGAUUUGAAAGGCGCUUUCGGGUGUCGCUGAUGGAUGGACCCGCGGUGCAUUAGCUAGUUGGUGAGGUAACGGCUCACCAAGGCGACGAUGCAUAGCCGACCUGAGAGGGUGAUCGGCCACAUUGGGACUGAGACACGGCCCAAACUCCUACGGGAGGCAGCAGUAGGGAAUCUUCGGCAAUGGACGAAAGUCUGACCGAGCAACGCCGCGUGAGUGAAGAAGGUUUUCGGAUCGUAAAACUCUGUUGUUAGAGAAGAACAAGGAUGAGAGUAACUGUUCAUCCCUUGACGGUAUCUAACCAGAAAGCCACGGCUAACUACGUGCCAGCAGCCGCGGUAAUACGUAGGUGGCAAGCGUUGUCCGGAUUUAUUGGGCGUAAAGCGAGCGCAGGCGGUUUCUUAAGUCUGAUGUGAAAGCCCCCGGCUCAACCGGGGAGGGUCAUUGGAAACUGGGAGACUUGAGUGCAGAAGAGGAGAGUGGAAUUCCAUGUGUAGCGGUGAAAUGCGUAGAUAUAUGGAGGAACACCAGUGGCGAAGGCGGCUCUCUGGUCUGUAACUGACGCUGAGGCUCGAAAGCGUGGGGAGCAAACAGGAUUAGAUACCCUGGUAGUCCGCACGGUAAACGAUGGAUACUCGCUGUUGGCGAUAGACAGUCAGCGGCCAAGCGAAAGCGUUAAGUAUCCCACCUGGGGAGUACGCCGGCAACGGUGAAACUCAAAGGAAUUGACGGGGGCCCGCACAAGCGGUGGAGCAUGUGGUUUAAUUCGAAGCAACGCGAAGAACCUUACCAGGUCUUGACAUCCUUUGACCACUCUAGAGAUAGAGCUUCCCCUUCGGGGGCAAAGUGACAGGUGGUGCAUGGUUGUCGUCAGCUCGUGUCGUGAGAUGUUGGGUUAAGUCCCGCAACGAGCGCAACCCUUAUUGUUAGUUGCCAUCAUUUAGUUGGGCACUCUAGCAAGACUGCCGGUGACAAACCGGAGGAAGGUGGGGAUGACGUCAAAUCAUCAUGCCCCUUAUGACCUGGGCUACACACGUGCUACAAUGGGAAGUACAACGAGUCGCAAAGUCGCGAGGCUAAGCUAAUCUCUUAAAGCUUCUCUCAGUUCGGAUUGUAGGCUGCAACUCGCCUACAUGAAGCCGGAAUCGCUAGUAAUCGCGGAUCAGCACGCCGCGGUGAAUACGUUCCCGGGCCUUGUACACACCGCCCGUCACACCACGAGAGUUUGUAACACCCGAAGUCGGUGAGGUAACCUUUUGGAGCCAGCCGCCUAAGGUGGGAUAGAUGAUUGGGGUG
rnacentral:rRNA from 1 species